AGGAAAAGAAACCAACAGGGAUUGCCUCAGUAACGGCGAGUGAAGCGGCAAAAGCUCAAAUUUGAAACCCUCGGGAUUGUAAUUUGAAGAUUUGGCAUUGGAGAAAGCUAACCCAAGUUACUUGGAAUAGUACGUCAUAGAGGGUGACAACCCCGUCUGGCUAACCGUUCUCCAUGUAUUGCCUUAUCAAAGAGUCGAGUUGUUUGGGAAUGCAGCUCAAAGUGGGUGGUAAACUCCAUCUAAAGCUAAAUACUGGUGAGAGACCGAUAGCGAACAAGUACUGUGAAGGAAAGGUGAAAAGAACUUUGAAAAGAGAGUGAAAUAGUAUGUGAAAUUGUUGAUAGGGAAGGAAAUGAGUGGAGAGUGGUUUAGGUUUCAGCCUUCUUUCGAGGGGGUGCACUACCAACGCCGAGUCAUUGAUAGCGAGACAGGGGUUAUAAACGGACGGCACUUGUGCUAUUCUCCUAACCCCUCUACUGCCACCAACGACAUAAUCCACCCAUUUCACCCGUCU
rnacentral:rRNA from 1 species